GUCAGGAAGAUGCCCAAUUCCUGGCACAAUUUGACAGUGGGCACUGGUCUUCUCUGCUGUGUGGCCAUUUGUCUCAUAGGUGUAGGCCACAUGGAUACUGGAGUUAUCCAGCACCCAAAUUUCUUAGUCAAGGGAAGUGGAGAAACUGUAGUGCUGAGCUGCAACCUCAUCGAAGGACAUACAUAUAUUUACUGGUAUCAACAGGUCCUGAAUAAAGAAUUAAAAUUUCUAAUUUCCAGAAGAAAUGAACAAAUUUUGGAUGAUUCAGGGAUGCCCAAGCAUAGAUUCUCAACUGAAUGGUCCCAAAAGCUACCUGGCAUCCUGAAGAUCCAACUCUCAGAACCUGGGGACUCUGCCGUGUAUUUCUGUGCUAGUAGCUUAGACACAGAGCUACAGAUUCAGUUCUUCUCUGCUCAGAAAGGUUAACAAGGACUGGGAGGUUCUCAGAAUUAAGCUACUCAUUGAGGAAGAUG